UACGGAGGGUGCAAGCGUUAAUCGGAAUUACUGGGCGUAAAGCGUGCGCAGGCGGUUUGUUAAGUCUGUUGUGAAAUCCCCGAGCUCAACUUGGGAAUUGCAAUGGAUACUGGCAGGCUGGAGUAUGGUAGAGGAAGGUGGAAUUUCCGGUGUAGCAGUGAAAUGCGUAGAGAUCGGGAGGAACACCAGUGGCGAAGGCGGCCUUCUGGACCAAUACUGACGCUCAUGCACGAAAGCGUGGGGAGCAAACAGG
rnacentral:rRNA from 1 species